AUUGAACGCUGGCGGCAGGCCUAACACAUGCAAGUCGAACGAGUGGCGGACGGGUGAGUAAUGUCUGGGAAACUGCCUGAUGGAGGGGGAUAACUACUGGAAACGGUAGCUAAUACCGCAUACCAUCGGAUGUGCCCAGAUGGGAUUAGCUAGUCGGGGGGGUAAAGGCUCACCUAGGCGACGAUCCCUAGCUGGUCUGAGAGGAUGACCAGCCACCCUAGAACUGAUACACGGUCCAGACUCCGACGGGAGGCAGCAUGGGGGAAUAUUGCACAAUGUGCGCAAGCCUGAUGCAGCCAUGCAGAGUGUAUGAAGAAGGCCUUCGGGUUGUAAAGUACUUUCAGCGGGGAGGCGUUACCCGCAGAAGAAGCACCGGCUAACUCCGUGCCAGCAGCCGCGGUAAUUC
rnacentral:rRNA from 1 species